rnacentral:rRNA from 1 species
UAGGGAAUAUUGGACAAUGGGCGCAAGCCUGAUCCAGCCAUGCCGCGUGAGUGAAGAAGGCCCUCGGGUUGUAAAGCUCUUUUGUCCGGAAAGAAAAAGCAUCGGGCUAAUACCCUGGUGUUCUGACGGUACCGGAAGAAUAAGCACCGGCUAACUUCGUGCCAGCAGCCGCGGUAAUACGAAGGGUGCAAGCGUUACUCGGAAUUACUGGGCGUAAAGCGUGCGUAGGUGGUUUGUUAAGUCUGAUGUGAAAGCCCUGGGCUCAACCUGGGAAUGGCAUUGGAAACUGGCGGACUCGAGUGCGGUAGAGGGGUGUGGAAUUCCCGGUGUAGCAGUGAAAUGCGUAGAGAUCGGGAGGAACACCAGUGGCGAAGGCGACACCCUGGACCAGCACUGACACUGAGGCACGAAAGCGUGGGGAGCAAACAGGAUUAGAUACCCUGGUAGUCCACGCCCUAAACGAUGCGAACUGGAUGUUGGGUGCAACUUGGCACUCAGUAUCGAAGCUAACGCGUUAAGUUCGCCGCCUGGGGAGUACGGUCGCAAGACUGAAACUCAAAGGAAUUGAC